rnacentral:lncRNA from 1 species
CACCACUGCAAGAGGGGAAGUUGCUACUGUGAUGAAUUCUGCCAUGUGGUACCAGACUGCUACCCAGACCACAGUGUCCUCUGCAACCCUCGUCAAAGGUGCCUACAUGUUCCUUCUAGCUUUGUUUCCCUGAUGUUCCUUGCCACCUGCUACUCCUCUCUGAGCUACUUUUCCAGCCUCCCAGGAAUGCCGGUCUCCAUGGCUGUGAGGGGAAUCAAGAAGAGAGCCUGACUCCUCUCCUGAGGCCCCUUCCCCACCCUGAGCCAGCAGGAUCCACGGAGCAGAGGUCAUCUGUCCCCAGCUUGGCCCGCUGAGGCCAGCAUGGCUGGGCCCAUGAUGCUUGUCUCUCAGCUCCCAUCCUGUGUACUUCCACAUUGGUUUAACCAGAGCAAAACUGAAAUCUACAAUUGUCAUAAACACAUUUAAAUGUGCGUAGAAUCAGCCUUACAGGUUGUGAAACAUG